rnacentral:rRNA from 1 species
AUCGUACGGGAGGCAGCAGUGAGGAAUAUUGGUCAAUGGGCGUAAGCCUGAACCAGCCAAGUAGCGUGCAGGAUGACGGCCCUAUGGGUUGUAAACNGCUUUUAUGCGAGGAUAAAGUCACCCACGUGUGGGUGUUUGCAGGUAUUGCAUGAAUAAGGACCGGCUAAUUCCGUGCCAGCAGCCGCGGUAAUCGAU